rnacentral:rRNA from 1 species
AAAGCUCAAAUUUAAAAUCUGGCGUGCCUCUGGUCGUCCGAGUUGUAGUUUAGAGAAGCGUUUUCUGUGUUGGACCGUGUAUAAGUCUCUUGGAACAGGGCGUCAUAGAGGGUGAGAAUCCCGUCUUUGACACGGACUACCAAUGCUUUGUGAUACGCUCUCAAAGAGUCGAGUUGUUUGGGAAUGCAGCUCAAAAUGGGUGGUAAAUUCCAUCUAAAGCUAAAUAUAGGCGAGAGACCNAUAGCGAA